CGUACAUAUCAAUACAUUAUAUCCUCCUCACUUCCACUAGGAUUCCGCGGCAUGAAACGUCAGUAUAAUCUUAAUAUUUUAUUUUAAUAAUCAUACCAAACAAACACUAUGCCUCCUUUCGAUUUCAAAGAGAUUCAAGACAAGCUUUCCCAUUCCUUGAGACCUUGGCAACGCUCCUUACAGUUUUGGGUUCGAGCUGUUGAUAUCUAUACGGGCUACAAGGCGUUUCAAGUUCGAGUUAGCUUCGUGAAAGAUGUCCAGAAGCAAGAGGCAAUGUGGGAACAACAACAUGAGCUUGCUGCUCAGAAGAUUUAUGCAAUGUGCUCUGAACUUGGUGGCUUCUUUCUUAAGAUUGCCCAAAUUGUUGGGAAGCCUGACUUGGCCCCAGCUGCAUGGGUGAGAAGGCUUGUUACACUGUGUGAUCAAGCUCCUGCAACUCCAUUCGAGGCUGUUCAACUCGUUCUGGAGAGGGAAUUAGGUCGAAGUAUUGGCGACAUUUUUGAAAGCUUUGAUGUAAAUCCUCUUGGUUCUGCUUCUAUUGCGCAGGUUCACCGAGCAAGAUUCAGAGGUGAUAAUAGUGAUGUUGUUGUAAAGGUGCAACAUCCAGGAGUUCAGGAUCUGAUGAUGACAGACAUCCGUAACGUGCAAGCAUUUGCUUACUACUUGCAAAAGACAGAUAUUAUGUUUGAUCUACUUUCUGUGACAAAAGAAAUGGAGAAACAGAUUGGAUAUGAGUUUGACUUUAAAAGAGAGGGAGAUGCGAUGGAGAGAAUUCGGCAGUUUUUGUACAAGAAUAACAAAAAGUCUCCUGUUGUGGUGCCACGGCUACUGCAUGAUAUGGUUACCAGGAAAGUCUUAGUGAUGGAAUACAUUGAUGGGACCCCGAUCCUAAAUCUUGGUGAUGAAAUAGCAAAAAGAGGAAUCAAUCCUGGUGGUAAGAUUGCAGCAGCAGCAAAGCAGAACAUACUUAAGAGUUUGACUCUAGCAUAUGGACAAAUGAUACUGAAGAGUGGAUUCUUCCAUGCAGAUCCUCAUCCGGGAAAUAUCCUGAUUUGUAAAGGUUCAGAGUCAGGUUGCCUUAUUAGACUAUGGACAAGUAAAGGAUCUUCCAGACAAGUUGAGGCUUGGAUAUGCUAAUUUAGUUCUUGCCAUAGCUGAUAGUGACCCCAUUAGAGUGAUGGAGAGCUACAGGGAGCUUGGCAUAGGCACAUUAAGCAAAUGUGAGAAUGAACAACAGGAAUUGCUUAAGUUGGCCCAGACAAUGUUUGAUACAAAACUGCCUCCUGGAAUGACAAUGCUACAACCCUUCUCAGAGGAAUCUUCAAUUAAG